AAUGAACGCUGGCGGCGCGCCUAAUACAUGCAAGUCGAGCGAGAAGACGUAGCAAUACGUUUGUAAAGCGGCGAACGGGUGAGGAAUACAUGGGUAACCUACCCUCGAGUGGGGAAUAACUAGCCGAAAGGUUAGCUAAUACCGCGUACGCUCCUUGGACUUCGGUUCAGGGAGGAAAGCGAUACCGUGGGUAUCGCGCUCUUGGUUGGGCUCAUGUCCUAUCAGCUUGUUGGUGAGGAACGGCUCACCAAGGCUUCGACGGGUAGCUGGUCUGAGAGGACGAUCAGCCACACUGGCACUGCGACACGGGCCAGACUCCUACGGGAGCAGCAGUGAGGAAUCUUGCGCAAUGGACGAAAGUCUGACGCAGCGAUGCCGCGGUGGGGGA
rnacentral:rRNA from 1 species